rnacentral:rRNA from 1 species
AUGAACGCUAGCGACAGGCCUAACACAUGCAAGUCGAGGGGCAGCACAAGGAGCAAUCUGAGGUGGCGACCGGCGCACGGGUGAGUAACACGUAUGCAACCUGCCUGUAAGCGGGGAAUAACCCGUUGAAAGACGGACUAAUACCGCAUAAUACUAAAUUACUGCAUGGUAAUUUAUUUAAACAUUUAUGGCUUACAGAUGGGCAUGCGCAUGAUUAGCUAGUUGGAGAGGUAACGGCUCCCCAAGGCAACGAUCAUUAGGGGUUCUGAGAGGAAGGUCCCCCACACUGGUACUGAGACACGGACCAGACUCCUACGGGAGGCAGCAGUGAGGAGUAUUGGUCAAUGGACGAGAGUCUGAACCAGCCAAGUCGCGUGCAGGAAGAAUGUUCCCUAUGGAUUGUAAACUGCUUUUGCAGGGGAAUAAAGUGCAUCACGUGUGAUGUUUUGUAUGUACUCUGCGAAUAAGGAUCGGCUAACUCCGUGCCAGCAGCCGC